AGCGAACGUUAGCGGCGGGCUUAACACAUGCAAGUCGAGCGAGAAAGGGGCUUCGGCCCUGAGUACAGCGGCGGACGGGUGAAUAACACGUAGGUAACCUUCCUUCCAGCGGGGGACAACGGUCCGAAAGGACCGCUAAUACCGCAUACGUUCCCUGGGACCCUGGUCCCGGGGAGGAAAGCUCCGCAAGGGGCACUGGAUGAGGGGCCUGCGUAGCAUCAGCUAGUUGGUGGGGUAAUGGCCUACCAAGGCUAAGACGCUUAGCUGGUCUGAGAGGAUGAUCAGCCACACUGGGACUGAGACACGGCCCAGACUCCUACGGGAGGCAGCAGUGGGGAAUAUUGGACAAUGGGCGCAAGCCUGAUCCAGCCACGCCGCGUGAGUGGUGAAGGCC
rnacentral:rRNA from 1 species